AUAUCCGAGCACAGCGAUGGUGCCGCACAGUGCUCGGAGAUAUUGUCACGUGCUACCCCAUUCUGAUAUGAUAUCACCCAGCACCACGCGUGUCCAUUGAGAGCUGC